rnacentral:antisense_RNA from 1 species
GUUUUAUUGAAAUGCCCCAAUUCCAAUUGCCAAAAAAAUGAAGUAAUCAGCUUUUCAAAUUAGGAUAUUAAUGAAUAAUUAUCUCGGAAUAAUAGGAUUUGGUGUGAAUUCAAAAGCUACUUCGAAGUUUAUAACUUAUGUAGCCUAGUUACUUUGUUUCCAACAUUGACUAAUAUCUUCCGGCAAAAUAUCCUCAUUUCCCUCGCAAUUUCGCGAAGCUAGCUAAUCUAUUUGGAUUUUAGAGGACUAAAAUUAUGAAAUUUUAUAGGAAAGAAAUAUAACAAGAAGAGUUUAGAAAUUAAAGGUGCCUAGAAAUUGUGCUGGUCCAAUUAACGCCAAAAGAAGGCUAUUCAUCUGUUUGAACGUCAGAAUCAGAAUUAUAUAUUUCUAUUACUCUCUCGUAUACAAAAUAAGGGGAUGCGCCUGGAAUAUUACUUGGAUUCCUCCCUUUUAUUUGUUUUCUAGGUCUUACUGGUCUUGGGGAACUGAUAGCAUUUCGAAUUUUCCUUAAAUGAGUGGCAUUAGAUAAAAGUUCUGGUAUAUGAACUAGCUGAUAGAUAGGUACUUUAGUUAGGUUUUGAUAAAUUAUAUUUUCAUAGGUUUCUUUAAGUGUG